UCCUCGGGAUUCCACUCCCUAGCUGGCUCGAAGUUUUCUUGCCCCGGUUGGCUUGGACGGCGCCCAUCCCACGUUGGGCCUCAGCCGGAUCGUCAGGUCCUGUUUGCCUAGCCGGCUCGUCAGACUGUCACGUCUUUGUCGGAUCAUCGGGCUUCCACGUCGCAGUGGGAUCGACAGGCGUUCAUGUCUCGGCCGGCUCGCCCAGGUUGACACAGACAUGCUCAGGAAAAUGAUAUCACAACUUAAGCCUUCUACCUGCCUUCUCAAUCCUACCCCCACCACCUUUUUCAAAACAGUUCUUAAUUGAAUAUCUGAAGAAGUGCAAACUAAUGUUAUUAAUCACUCCCUGUUCACAGCCACUUUCCCCACUGCACUAAAAACUGCUAUGGUGAAACCCCUUCUGAAGAAAAUUUAUCUAGAUUCUUCAGCUCUUAGCAAUUUUCGGCCAAUCUCCAUCCUUCUAUUCUUAUGCAAAAUUCUAGAGAAAUUGGUUUUCAAACCGCUAAAUUAUAUUUUAAUUGCCAAUGUUAUUUUCCAAUCUGGUUUUCAGGCCCACUACAGCACAGAGACAGCCUGUCACGCCCUGACCUUAGAGAGCUUUUUAUGUCUCUUUUGGUUUGGUCAGGGAGUGAUUUGGGUGGGCAUUCUAUGUUCUAUUUUCUGUUUGUAUUUCUUUGUUUUGGCAGGGUAUGGUUCUCAAUCAGGGACAGCUGUCUAUCGUUGUCUCUGAUUGGGAACCAUACUUAGGCAGCCCUUUUUCCCACCUGUGAUUGUGGGUAGUUAACUUUGUUUGUGGCACAUAGCCCUAAGCUUCACGGUUGAGUUUGUAUUGUUUAUUGUUUUUGUCGGCGUCAUCCUAAUAAAAAGGAAUAUGUACGCUCAC